GGGCAGUCCGGCUGCGACACCUGUCACCCCAUUGACCAACAGGGUUGACUCAGCUGACCUGGCUGGUGAGGCGGGGUCCCUGUCACCCCUCCUGAAGCUGUGUGCUCGGUGGAAGAGGACGACCAUCCCCACAGAACACACUACAGA
rnacentral:snRNA from 1 species